GAUGAACGCUGACAGAAUGCUUAACACAUGCAAGUCAACUGUGGCGGACGGGUGAGUAACGCGUAAAGAACUUGCCUCACAGAUAGGGACAACAUUUGGAAACGAAUGCUAAUACCUGAUACUGUGAGAGAGCUUUGCGUCCCAUUGGCUAGUUGGAGAGGUAACGGCUCACCAAGGCGAUGAUGGGUAGCCGGCCUGAGAGGGGGGUCGGCCACAAGGGGACUGAGACACGGCCCUUACGCCUCCGGGAGGUAGCAGUGGGGAACAUUGGACAAUGGACCAAAGUCUGAUGCAGCAAUUCUGUGUGCACGAUGAAGUUGUCGGAAUGUAAAGUGCUUUCAGUUGGGAAGCGGUACCAACAGAAGAAGUGACCGCUAAAUACGUGCCAGCAGCCGCGGUAAUAC
rnacentral:rRNA from 1 species